rnacentral:lncRNA from 1 species
GGGUAGCCAAAUAAAAUCGAAAUACUUUAUGGCUGUCUAAACGAAAUUCCCCGUGAUCCUGGCGGUUAUGCCGCGAAAUUGCAGUGAGUGCUUGUCAACUUCUAAGUUCUAAAAACUAGCAAGGCCGUCUUGGACCACAAUAGGCUAACUUCAAGUUUCUUUAUUCCCCAUUUAAAUUGCAACAGAAAUGAGCAAACGCCACCUGUCACCUUCUCAAAUGCACGGUAUAUUUUAUUAUUUUGUUUCCCUUCCCUUGCA